rnacentral:rRNA from 1 species
AUGCUUAACACAUGCAAGUCGAACGGAAACAGGAAGUAGCUUGCUAUUUUGCUGUCGAGUGGCGGACGGGUGAGUAAUGCUUGGGAAUAUGCCAAAACGUGGGGGACAACAGUUGGAAACGACUGCUAAUACCGCAUAAUGUCUUCGGACCAAAGCAGGGGACCUUCGGGCCUUGCGCGUUUUGAUUAGCCCAAGUGGGAUUAGCUAGUUGGUAAGGUAAUGGCUUACCAAGGCGACGAUCCCUAGCUGGUCUUAGAGGAUGACCAGCCACACUGGAACUGAGACACGGUCCAGACUCCUACGGGAGGCAGCAGUGGGGAAUAUUGCACAAUGGAGGAAACUCUGAUGCAGCCAUACCGCGUGUAUGAAGAAGGCCUUAGGGUUGUAAAGUACUUUCAGCGAGGAGGAAAGGUGAUAAAUUAAUACUUUAUCACUGUGACGUUACUCGCAGAAGAAGCACCGGCUAACUCCGUGCCAGCAGCCGCGGUAAUACGGAGGGUGCAAGCGUUAAUCGGAAUUACUGGGCGUAAAGCGCAUGCAGGCGGUUUGUUAAGCGAGAUGUGAAAGCCCCGGGCUCAACCUGGGAACUGCAUUUCGAACUGGCAAACUAGAGUUCUUGAGAGGGUGGUAGAAUUUCAGGUGUAGCGGUGAAAUGCGUAGAGAUCGGAAGGAACACCAGUGG